AUGAACCGGUAACAUUAGUAUAGUAGCUUUUAUAUCUUCAUUAUCUUGUCUGUAGUGUCUUCUACUUUUACCACUUUCACCAUAUUAAACUCAUAAUUUAUAAUAACAACCACAAUCAUCACUACCAAAAUCACUCUCACUUCUCUUACUCACCACACUCUCGCCGCCCGUCAGUGUUUAUUCGCCUCUGCUUUCUUUGCGCCUGGCCUCCUCCGACUGUGUCGUUCCGGCCGCCUUGGCUCUGAUCCGUCGUGCCACGCCUGUCUCUGCCUCCGCCUUGUGCUUCCCUCAUCAUCGUAUUGGUUCCUCAGCAGGCUCUCUCUUGCCGGCCGCUUGCUCUGCAACGCUGCAACACGGCGGCUUUCUGCUAUUGCUGUAGGAAGGUGGUUAAUGAUAGGUUUCUUUAGUUUUCAGGCGAGGCACGGCGGCUCGGAGGAAGCAGAGGCGAGGAGAUAGAGUGAGGAGUGUAGUGAGUAAGAGAAGUGAGAGUGAUUUUGGUGGUGAUGAUGAUGACGAGUUUAACACGGCGAAGAUAGUCAAUGUGGAGGACACCACAAAGAAUAUAUAAUGAUAUAUAGAAAAGCUACUCAUAAUAUAAAUGAGGUGGGUACUCCCAUGAAGAUAUUAUAAUUGUCU